rnacentral:rRNA from 1 species
UACGUAGGGGGCAAGCGUUGUCCGAAGUUACUGGGCGUAAAGCGCACGUAGGCGGCGGCGCAAGUUACAUUUGAAAGCAGCAGCUCAACUGCUGUCAGUGGUGUAAGACUGCGUUGCUUGAGGCAAGCAAAAGAGUGUGGAACUCCGAGUGUAGCGGUGGAAUGCGUAGAGAUUCGGAAGAACACCCAUGGCGAAGGCAGCACUCUAGGCUUGAUCUGACGCUGAGGGAGCGAAAGCCAGGGGAGCGAACAGG